UAUUUGCAUGUUGCGUGCUUCAUCACACUGUGCGAAUGCUUCUUGGGGGUGAGCCCUCAUUGGGGGCACUAGAAGCGGAUCUUUAUGAUCAAAAGCUAGAAGGUGGAGGCCGUUGGGAGCGUCAACUUCCAGGUACGGCCCGACACCAAAUACUUCUCCCUCCAGCAGCGCGAAUCUGUGCAAGGCUGGAGGUUGAAGUGGUUCUACAUCCGAUCUGACGCCCCGGGUGCCGAUCCAAGUCUUCUUGCCUUCUCAAUCAAGAAGAAGAAAAAGAAGACGGCGGCAUGGAGCCACGAACUGACGCCUGCAGAGGAGUCUGAGGCGACUCCCUUGAUGGCUAAGAUGCACUUCCUUAUGGGACAGGGGUUGACAGGUGUUCACCUGAUAGCUCUGUUCCUCAGGAUGAGGAUCCAGCCGCUGCAAGCUCGUGUUCACCCGAUGUGGUCCUUCGAAGGACCCGGGGAUCCCACUCGGGUGAAUGCGGAAGAACUAUAUUUGAACGAACUGGAGUCGCGGGUGCAAAGGUUAACGACCCUGAUCGACGUGACUCCAGGCAAGAUUGACUCGCGAGUAGUCGCUUUUGGCCCUGACAGGCCGAGGGAAAAGGUAAUUUAUAUUUCUGCCAUUUUGAGCUUGUAUUUGUAAGCUACUGAUCCGCUUGCUGGUUGUAGGGAUUCGAAGAUCCCUUGAGUCAACCUCCUCCUGCAUGGGAGGAGGAGCUGGCCGAUGAGUCCUCGGAGUCGCCGGAGCAGGCGAGCCACUCCGAGACUGAAGAGGUUGCCCUGGAGACGAGGAGGAAGCGCAGCAGGGAGUCAAACCCCAAGUCUGAUGAUCAGUCGACGGGUGUCGAGGGUCCCUCAUCUCCUCCUCUUGCAGCCAAAAAGACCAAGACAGGCGGCCCAGCGCCUUUUCGCCGAUUUGGCCUUCUUGGCCGAGUCACCCAGGCCAGGUAGGUGGUUCUUCAUACAUCAGCUCUCCAAAUAGUGCAAUCUAAAUACUGAACUAGCUGUUUUCCUUUGCCAGCUCUGUGGCCUCAGGUGACCAACCAACGACCCAGGCUAUUGAGCCCACUGGGUCGGACCCGAAAACUUCGGGUCCCUCAAUCGUCGUCGAGACGUUUGAGCCUCAGGUAUCGAUGCCUGAGGCGCCUUCUCCACUGAGUGUGGAGCAUCAACCCCAAAGGUUGUCCCGCUAGUUGACACACUUGGAGAGGCAUGGAGCCGGAACGGUUUCCUCGACUUCGGCUUGUCAUGUAAGUCUUGAGUCCUUUUGUCAAGUAAACUUCUUUUGUUAAAAUUUUUACUCUCCCGGUGGGAUUAUGAGUCAGAUGCUGACGUAAUCACUGUCGCAGCCGAUCAUCCGCUCCAUAACGGAGUUUGUUGAUCGCUAUGAUGCGGUGACGGCUGAGCGAGAUCAGCUUCGCCAAGACUUGGAGCGAAGCCAGCAAGAGCUGAGGUCUGCUCAAGGUAAUGCUUCCAGCUUAGUCUUUCUUUGAGUUGAAAAACUAUUGUGUCUUACUGUUUUGUCGUCUAGAUCUCCUUUCUCAGGCUAACUCCCUCAAAGACGCCGCCGAGCUUCAAUCCAAGAGCUUAGAGAAGAAGCUUGCUGAUCUGGCCAGGGAGUCGAAAGAGAAGCUAGAGGCUGAAAAACGCCUUGCCUAAGAAGCUUCGGGCGCCCUUCUCGCCAAGGAGGCCGAGAAGGAGAAGACGAGAUUCGUCCGACUCCAAGGAGUCAUUGGUCCCCUCACAGGUAAGAAUAUCGUAGUUGAAUCCACUCAUUUGGAUAUAUUGUUAACGCUUUGGCUCUUUUGCAGGCCUGGUUUCCUUGUCUGGUCUCCUACCUUCGAGUGAAAGUUCACUCGACCGGGUGAUUGACGCUGCGGCACGCGUCUGCUUUGGAGCGGCGACUGGAGUCCAGGGAACCUCCCGGGUGCUCACCAGUUUGUUCGGGAAGAUGUUUCUUGACGAGCCGGUGCCUGAAUCGCUAGGGAAACUCGUAGAGUUUUUCAGCGCUGACCUGGAUCCUAUGGACGAGUUUAGCCGGGUUCAGACCAACUCCGGUGCGGAGUCGACGUUCGUGUUAGCGUUAGCACACGGUGUCGGCGAGGACGUGUUGCGGAAGGUGGCUUUGGGCGUUCCCUUGUUACCUAGAGGGGAGGAGGUAGCUUUGACACCUUACUUCCAGCUCAGGGAAGAGCUGGCGGCCCAGCUGUCGGCUCAGCUGGGGAGCAUGGCAUCUAAGGGAGAGGUGGCUCUGCCAUCGUCCACUCCUGCGCCGAGCCAGGAGGUGGGCCAAGCUUGAGGCAUAGACUUCUUUAGGCUUUCUCCUGUCCUCUAUGUAUUUUCCCCCCUUUUUUUGUAUCGUUUUUGCUCGAAUGUCAGCAUUAUCAAUAAAGAAACAUCCUUGUUCCUUUGCACUGAUAUGAGUCGGACUCCUUCCUUUUAGUUAAGACUCGUGUCUUUGAAUCAUUUCAGGGACUGAAAAGGGGGUAUUUCUCUUCUGCAGCGGUAGAAACAGACCCCGACUUUGACAGUCGAGGUAGACACAGAGAGGGUUGUGACACCUAAGUCGAAUAUCGUGAGAGCCACGUUCUCGGCUUAGAUGCUCCCUUCAAAAACCUCGGAGUCGACAGCUCCAAAGGAGGUUCCUUCCCUGAAAUGAUUCAAAGACAAGACUCGAAGGGAACUAGAGUUCCUUCGUCGAUGCCUCCAAGAAGCCGAAAACCCGAGCCAAAAACUUGGCGAUGGAGAGUCGGAGAGCCGCGAGCGAGUUUCAGAUUACCAAGACCAAGUUGAAAGCGGCUGCCGCACGGGAAGAGUUUAUCUUCGAGGAGCUUCGCGGGCUGAGUUCUCAGCUUCAAUGUGACCCACUGCCUCCUUUUUGCUUGGAUCUUCUUCUUUUCGGCUUAUCCUUUACAAACAAGAGUUGUUUGCAGAUGUGCAAGCCGACCCGUGAGCUAAGCAAAAUCGGGUAAACAGUGCCCCGAACGCUCGUCAGACGAUCGAUCAUCAUUCUGGUCUGACCGAGCGAGGGUCAUGAGCUGAUGCUUUUGUGAGACCACAUAGAUAAGAAUAAAAGCUUCUUCAACUCCCACUUAGAGACUUUGAAGGCAAUUCAUCAGGCAUUCUGGCCCUUGGAGGAGGUGCCCCAAGAGCUGAGCAAGCUGACCCGAAAGCUUGGGUAAGAUAGCGUCUUUCGGGAGCUGAUGUACCGUCAGCUGGUCCGGGGGGCGAAGAUACUGUUAGAAAGGAAGUUCGACCCGUUGUCGGUGAUAAUGUUGUGAGGUACUCCAAAGCGGAAUACGAUGGAGUGAACGAAUGCGAUGGCAGUCAUUCCCGUGGCGUUUGUGAUGGGCAUUGACACUAUCCAUUUGGUGAACUUGUUGAUUGCGACAAGCAGAAAAGUAUGACCCCCUUCUUUUGAUCGUUGAAGUGGCCCGACCAUGUCGAGUCCCCAUUGAGCGAAAGGCCAAGCCAAUGGUAUUGUUUUGAGUUUGGAAGCCAGGCCAUGCGGCUUAGUUGCGAACAUCUGGCAGGCCACGCAUCGGGUGAUGAUGUCGUCGGCGUCCUGCAUCGCUGUCGGCCAGUAGAAGCCGGCUCGAAAAGGCUUUGCCGCAAUAGUGCGGCUGCUUGCAUGGUGACCGCAUGUGCCCUGGUGUAUGUCGAUCAAAAUCUCCCAUCCUUCCUCAGGUGGAAUGCACCGUUGAGGGACGCUGGAGAUGCUUCGCUUGUAGAGCUCACCUUCAAUGACGAUAAAAGCUUUAGACCGUCUAGCAAUUUGACGUGCUUCUGCGACGUCUGCAGGUAGCUCUUGUCGUAUCAUGUAUACAAGAAAGGGUUGCAUCCACGGCUCGACCAUGAGCACCUCAUCGGGUUCUUCUUCACCGGUUGCGACUGCAGGGUCGUCCGGUGAGUCAGGGUCGAGAGGUUUUUGCUCACCGUCGAUUAGUGUUGACUUCUUGGGACUCGAAGUAUUCUUUUCUUUGAUGGAUCUCUGGUGCAUGAUCUCUAGGAAUACUCCAGACGGGAUUGGGGAACGAGUCGAGCCGAUGUUGGCCAAACUGUCCGCUUCGUCAUUGCUGUUUCGGCCAAUGUGAUGCAGCUUGCAUCCGUCGAACUGGCCUUCCAGUACGUUGUAGAGAUCGCGAUAAACAAUCAUGGAAUCGGAGAUGGUGUCACACGACUUCAUCUGUUGCUGAACGACGAGGUAUGAGUCGUCGUAUCAUGAGCCUUGUGGCCCCGCAAGCUUUGGCCAUGCGCAUGACAUGCAAGAGGGCCUCGUACUCGGCUUCAUUGUUUGAAGGGUUUUGAAAAUGCAUCUGAAGCACGUAGCGGAGUCUAUCACCUUUGGGUGAAAUAAGCACAACACCCGUGCCUGCACCUUCAUGUCGCUUUGACCCAUCGAAAUACAUCGUCCAUGAGCUUGACAUGUCGGGCAGGCUCGGAGUCUGAGCCUCUGUCCACUCGGCAAUGAAGUCAGAGAGCACUUGUGAUUUGAUCAACUUCUGUCGUUCGUAGGUUAUGUUGCGAGCUGAGAGCUCGAUUCCCCACUUGGUGACUCGUCCCGUCGCUUCAGAGUUGUUCAAUAUGUUGACGAGAGGAGCCUCGCUGACAACCACAACUGUGUGUUGCUGGAAAUAGUGUCUUAACUUGCGUGCUGUUAGAAAGACUCCAUACGCAAGCUUUUGAUAGUGUGGGUAGCGUUGCUUUGUAGGCGAGGGGACCUCACUGAUGUAAUAGACUGGACGCUGAACACCGUGGGUCUUACCAUCUUCGGCUCGCUCAACUACAAUCGUUGUGCUGACCACCUGAGUGAUGGCUACGAUGUAUAAUAGGAGCUGCUCAUCUUCUUGUGGGGCGACGAGGAUCGGCGAGGUUGACAAUAGGUGCUUCAAGUUUGCGAAAGUAGCACUGGCCUCUGGCGUCCACGCGAAGUCGUCUUUCUUCUUUUUCAGAAGCUAGUAGAAAGGCAAGGCUUUCUCACCUAGCCUACCGAUGAAUCGGCUCAGGGCCGCGAGUCGACCGGUGAGCUGCUGGAGCUCAUGAAUUUUAGUCAGCUCCUUUAUGGUUAGGAUGGCUCUGAUUUUUGUCGGGUUUGCCUCAAUGCCUCGAGCCGACAGAAAGUGUCCAAGGAUUUUCCUGGCAGGUACUCCGAAGGUGCAGACGUGGCCUGCUGGCGCUGGAUACGACUCGACAGCAGCAAGUGUUUGCUCCGAAGAGUGGUUCAUUACCUCGACCAAGUUAGCCUGUAGUACGUGGGCCGAUGAGACUCCAAUGGCCGGACUCGCCGGUGUCGUCAUGACGGCCCUAUUGCUGGGGUAAUGAGGAUAACUCAUUUGUGAGUUUGUUUGUUGUGCUCUGGUGAGCUCGAGGUGUAACUCUUUGAAUCGUCUGCACUCCCGCAGGGGAUGGCUAGGGUUGAUGUUGCCCUGUUCAUCUUUGUAAACAUGGAAUGGGCAAGAGGCCAUCAACUGCUGAGAGAGCGUAGGUUGGCCUCCGUUGCAUCGCCACUGAGGCUUAGGCUCGCGGAUUUCGCCGCUGCGGUAACCCUCCACGUGCGAAGUGGCUGCGAUGAGAUCAGGCGAGGCUAGUUCUUCGUGUGUAGAAUAAUAGUUUUUGGUAUACUGUGUGCUAAGUAUUCUUUUCCUAUCAAUGAACUUUUCAUAAAAGAAUUCUCAUAAUAAAAUAUGAGAAUUCUUUUAUGAAAAGUGAAGUAUUCUUGCAAUAGGAUUUAAAACUUCCACCUAUCUUAUCCAAAAUCAUUGCUUUAAGGUUGGUAAAUCCUAUUAAUAAGAGCAUAAAAGCUUUCAUUCUAUAAAUUUGUCUAAAAUAAAAAAGGGUUUCUAUUUAAUCAUGAAAUUAAAAUGCAUAAAUAGAAAAGAGUUUUUGGAUUUUCUCCAUUGUAUCAAAAGAAUUUAAAAAAUGGAAACGAGAAACUAAUUAAAAAAAAAUUUCUUCUAUAUUCCAACUUAGAAAAAAGGAGUUCCAACUCUUUCAAGCAGUGUUUCUAUUAGGCAAAGCAAGAGUUUAUUGUAAAAAAAAUCGCAAUGAUACUACCAAACGAAGUCUAUUUAAAUGAAGACUCUAAUGUUCCUAAAUUUUAUGGACUUUCCCAAUCUGGACGGUUCGUGAGAUAAUAACUAUUAUUCUUUUAAGUUACCUAUUAUUUGAAGUUAGCCGCCAUGGUGAAAUUGGUAGACACGCUGCUCUUAGGAAGCAGUGCUCAAGCAUCUCGGUUCGAAUCCGAGUGGCGGCAUUCUCGAAAAAGAAUACAAUAGAUUAUAAAAUGGAUUCAAUUCGAAAUUUACAAUUUUGUAAUGGGACCUUCCCCUUAUGCUAUUUGCAACUUUAGAACAUAUACUAACUCAUAUUUCUUUCUCAACCAUUUCAAUUGUGAUUACGAUUCAUUUGAGAGCCUUAUUAGUUCGUGAACUUGGGGGAUUACGCGAUUCGUCAGAAAAAGGAAUGAUAGCUACUUUUUUCUCUAUAACAGGAUUCCUAGUUUCUCGUUGGCUUUCUUCGGGACAUUUUCCAUUAAGUAAUUUAUAUGAGUCAUUGAUCUUCCUUUCCUGGGCUCUGUAUAUUCUUCAUACGAUUCCUAAGGUACAGAACUCUAAAAAUGAUUUAAGCACAAUAACUACGCCAAGUACUAUUUUAACGCAAGGCUUUGCCACGUCAGGUCUUUUAACUGAAAUGCAUCAAUCCACAAUACUAGUACCCGCUCUACAAUCUCAGUGGUUAAUGAUGCAUGUCAGUAUGAUGUUACUAAGCUAUGCAACUCUUUUGUGUGGAUCUUUAUUAUCUGCCGCUAUUCUAAUCAUUAGAUUUCGAAAUAAUUUCAAUUUUUUUUCUAAAAAGAAUAAAAAUGUUUUAAAAAAAACAUUUUUAUUUAGUAAGAUGGAAUAUUUCUAUGCAAAAAGAAGUUAUUUUAAAAGCGCCUCUGUUCCUUCAUUUCCAAAUUAUUACAAAUAUCAAUUAACUGAGCGUUUGGAUUCUUGGAGUUAUCGUGUGAUUAGCCUAGGAUUUACCCUUUUAACCAUAGGUAUUCUUUGUGGAGCAGUAUGGGCCAAUGAGGCGUGGGGAUCCUAUUGGAAUUGGGAUCCUAAAGAAACUUGGGCUUUUAUUACUUGGACCAUAUUCGCAAUUUAUUUACAUAGUAGAACAAAUCAAAAUUGGAAGGGUACGAAUUCCGCACUUGUAGCUUCGAUAGGAUUCCUUAUAAUUUGGAUCUGCUAUUUCGGUAUCAAUCUAUUAGGAAUAGGUUUACAUAGUUAUGGUUCGUUUACAUUAACACCUAAUUGAUUACAUAAAAUAAAACCUUCAUUUCAUUAAGGUUUUUACUUUUUCGUUUUAUUUGAGAACCCCUUGAGCGCCUUCUCAAAGGGUUCUCAAAAAUGCGAGAUAGAUCUAAUUAGACUUUUUUAUUUUUUUUUCUCCAUUAAUAGAGCGGGCUAGUUAAAAAAACCUAUUUAGGGUAAUAAUUGGAUAAGAGAGCCUCCACCCUGUCAACGGAUAGGGAGAGAACAAAAUCUGGAUAAAUACCAAUUCCUAUUACUGGUAAAAAGAUACAGAUUAAAAGAAAGAGUUCUCGUGGUCCAGAAUCCAUAAAAUUUGCGUUUGGAACAUUAAAUAGUUUGUAUCCAUAGAACAUCUGGCGUAACAUAGAUAAUAAAUAAAUAGGAGUUAAUAUCAUUCCAAUUGCCAUUACAAAAGUAAUUAGCGUUUUUGGCAUUAACAGAAAUUUUGGACUAGUAAUUAGUCCAAAAAAUACUAAUAAUUCUGCGACAAAACCGCUCAUUCCUGGUAAUGCAAGAGAAGCCAUUGAAAAGCUACUAAACAUGGUAAAAAAUUUCGGUAUUAGAAUAGAUAUCCCCCCCAGUUCUUCGAGAUAAACAAGACGCAUUCUAUCACAAGCCGUUCCUGCCAAGAAAAAAAGUGUAGCGCCAAUAAAUCCGUGGGAUAAUAUUUGUAAAAUAGCUCCAUUGAGUCCAAUGUUGGUUAUGGAACCAAUUCCUAUAAUUAUGAAACCCAUGUGAGAUACAGAGGAAUAGGCUAUUCUUUUUUUGAAAUUUCGUUGACCAAGAGAAGUUGAGGCUGCAUAGAUUAUUUGGAUCGCUCCUAUUAUUACCAACCAGGGCGAAAAUAGAUAAUGAGCAUGAGGUAACAAUUCCAUGUUGAUACGAAUCAACCCAUAUGCUCCCAUCUUUAAUAGGAUUCCCGCUAAAAGCAUACACGUACUAUAAUGUGCUUCCCCAUGGGUAUCUGGUAACCACGUAUGGAGGGGUAUAAUCGGCAAUUUGACAGCAUAAGCAAUAAGGAAGCCAAAAUAUAAAAGUAUUUCCAAGGUUGCAGGGUAUGAUUGAUUAAUUAAUCUUUCCAAAUCUAAUCCCGGUUCGUUGGAACCGUACAAGCCCAUACCCAGAACUCUAAACAAAAAAAGGAUUUCCAAAAUAGAUCAUAGAUAAUUCUAACAAUUGCCAAUAAAUCCCGGCUUUUUACCAAGUUGAUGGUAAGAAAUCCCGGGACCUAGAAAUUCAUUUCGUACAAUUGAACCUUUUCAAACUGUUUCUUUUUGAGAACCAAAAAAACUUGUGCCAAAAUAACGGAUGCGAAGAAGAACAAAAGGCCUUGGACGCGUAAUGGAUCCUGAAGCACUAUUUCUGCAUCCCCCUGACCAAAUCCUCCCACAUUGGGAUUACUUGUUAAUGGUUGAUCAAGCUUGAUGGAUUCCCCCUCUGAAACAAGAAGUUCUGGCCCGGGAGGUAUAAUAUCAAUCAAUUGGCGUCCAUCCGAUGCAUCCACUAUGGAUAUUUCAUACCCCCCUUUUUCUUUACGUAGUAUUUUUUUUACUAUACCUGUUGACGUAGCAUUAUAGACCGUAUUGUUACUCUUGCUACCAUCAGGAUAGAUCUGCCCUCUUCCUCGGUUUCCCCCUACAUAUAUGGGAUAUUUUAAGAAAUGAGCAUCUUUCUUCGUAGCAGGAUCAGGGGAAAGAAUGGGAAAGACAAUUUCACUAUAUUUCUUACCGGGAACAGGGCCUAUCACAAGAAUAUUUUUUUUAUCGGGACGAUAACUCUGAAAAGAGAGAUUUCCUAUCUUUUCUUUCAACUCAGGGGAAAUACGGUCGGGCGGCGCUAAUUCGAAUCCCUCGGGCAAAAUAAGAACAACACCCACAUUUAACCCUCCCUUUUUCCCAUUAGCAAGAACUUGUUUCAGUUGCAUAUCAUAAGGAAUUCGGAGAACUGCUUCAAAUACAGUAUCGGGAAGCACAGCUUGGGGAACUUCAAUAUCCACGGGCUUGCUAGCUAAAUGGCAAUUGGCGCAUACAAUUCGUCCAGUUGCUUCUCGUGGGUUUUCAUAACCCUGCUGCGCAAAAAUGGGAUAUGCAUUUGAAAUAGAUGUCCGAGUUAUUACGUAUAUCAUGAUCGAUACAGAAAUCGAUCGAGUCAUCUGUUCCUUUACCCAAGAAAAAGUAUUUCUAUUUUCCAUGUCCAAUCGCAGAUCCCAGAAUUUCUACAAUAAAUUAGAUAGGUAGCUAAGCUAAUCUAGUUCCCUAUACACGAGUCUGUUGUCAUUCUACUGCAACAGUUGUACCGGAAUGAUGAAUACCUUUAAGCAGGUAGAAAUAGAAAGAAUUUUGCUAAAAUGGAAAGGGGCCUUUUUCUAAAGAAAGAAAGAUGCUAAUUUGAUUAAUAUCAGGAGAUCAAAUGAAUUUAUGCUUCACUAAUUGAAUGAUAAAUGACUACAAGCGAAGGGGAUAGACGGUUUAAACAAAAAAAGACCCAAAAUUUCAAACAUGUAUCUAGAAUUACUGGAAAACUACAAACAAAAAUAGUAAAAAUUAGCUCGUUAGGAGCCCAUCCAAGAUCGUUGUAGACCCAACGAAUGACUAGUUCCCAACCCCGGGUGGAGUGAAAUCCAACAAAAAAAUCAGUAACCAAAAGGAUAAAAAAAGCUUUUAUUGAGUCAUUUAAGUUAUGGAAGAAUUCCUGAACCCAAGAAUUCCAAAUGACAAGUUCCUCUUUACCAAAAAAAAAAAGAACUACUUAGAAUAGCCAAACAGAUUAUAUUUGUCGAGAAAUGCAAAAUGAUAUGGAGAUGAUCUUCAUUAUCUAUUUUGACCCAUUGUAUUAUUUCCUUGUGUAUUCCUAUAGGAGGUUUUUGUACAUGUGUCUUUGGUUUCUCUUUUAUCAUCUCGUCCAAGAGAGAAAGUUCUUCUAAUUCUAUGAAUCUUUCUAGAAUCCUUUUCUCUUGAAUAUCAGUUAAGAGAGUUUCAGAUUGUCUGGUAUUCCACCAAUUCUUAAUCCAAAGUUCCAGACAUUUGUUAACUGAGAAAGAGGCCCCCCAGGGCAAAAGUACGAUAAAUACAAGAUAUAGUAAAGAAGGCAAUGCUUUCUUUUUUUUCAUUUUUGAUCUAUAAAUUGAGUUGUUAAUGAAUCCGCUUCAUUCGCUGACUCUAUGAUGAUAUUUUUUUUUCUUUGAAGCAAAAACUCUAUAGCAAGGUUUGAGACCCUGUAUCUAUUCUUCUUUUUUGUAUUGUAUAUUAGUGGAAUUUCAUUGCAUUGGGUUCUUUCUUAUAUCUAGAUGGAGUGGAAUAGAAAAAAAGAUGAAAAUGGAAAGAAUAGUAUGCCAUAUAUCCCACUUGGGCAAAAUAAAUUUAAAGAAAUUUUAUCUUAUCCUCGUUUGUUCCUUCCUUUAGAUAAAUACUAAAAAAGCCCCUUACAAUACAAUAACAAAUCAAAUUUCGGAGGGACUUCCUCCCCAUGUUGAGAAAACUUUUCUUCUUCCAAUUCUUCUUCAUUCUAUUCAGUUCCAAAAAAUACAAUGGAUAUUCAAAAUACUUCAAUUGGUACGCGCAAGAAAUAGGCCAAUUCGGCAGCUUUUUGUUCAAUUUCUCGUGGAGUAAAAAACUUAUCAUCAGUACGAGUCAAGGGAAUGACCCCCUGGCCCCGGAUUUCCAUAUAAAGGAUACGACGAGGAUAAAAACCCUCUUUAACCUGAAUUCUAAUUGAUUGGAUAUCCCGCAUAAGGAAUCGAAGGAAGACGCGACGUUUUAUUCCAGGGAAUCCCCAACGAAAAAUGCACACGAUUCCCUCUUUUCUAUCGAAUCGGUCAUAACCACUACCUACAUUCCACAAAAUAGCACACCACAAGUAGGAGCUAAUGAAUAAGCCCGCGAUUCCGUAGAAAGACAUCACGACUCCCUGCGGAAAAAAAAGAAUUUGUUGAGAUGGAAGUAUAGAUAUCAUAUUCUUACCAAGAUAACUGGAAACCCCAACUGAUAAGAAUCCUAGUGAACCUAGAAAAAGAAUAGAGGCCCAGAAAAAAUUACCCCUUUUUCGAGAACCUUUUAGAAGUUCUACCCAUAUGUGUUCUGAUCGCCAAUUCAUAUUAGAUAUACUAAAUCCAGCAGCAGUCGAUUGAAAUUGAGAGAAUAAGCUAAAUGAUUUUGACUUUACUUUUUUUGAUUCUGAAAUCGCCUUCAGCAACGAGUACUCUUGUGAAAUAAUAGGUUAGAUACACUGACUUUCUAUUCAAAAAAUAUUCGUUGAUUCAAUUAAAAUAAAAAUAGCUAUACCCGGCUCCGCAUAUUCAUGCAUUUAUGCUUGUAGCCUAUAUCCGCAUCCAUAGCCGUUUUUCAUUUGUGUGUAGAAAGAGCCACAUACCCUACCAUAUUCUAUUACUUACACUUACUUACACUAAAAAAAUACUAGACAAUCUUAUUUUUCUGCACAUAAAGAAAUAAAGAAGCCAUUGCAAUUGCCGGAAAUACUAAGCCUACUAAAGGCACGAAAAUCGAAGGUAAGUUUAAAUCCGUCAUAGAAUAGGUGUCUCAAUUCAAAUUAACUAUUUCUAUCUAUUCGAAAAAUGUCUUAAGAUUCUUAUGAUAUAAUUAAGUAUAUCUAUUAUGAGUAAUAUUGACUAUUGUAUUUUUUAGUUUGCAAAAAAAAAAAAAUUUUAUAGAAGACUUUUUUUCUGUAAAUACUGCGUAUUUGAUUCUAUUAUCAUAUGAUAAUAGUAUAUUUGAUUUGUAUUUAUUUAUUAUACCUUUAUAUAUUCUAGAUAUAUAGAAUAGGCGAAUCUCGAUUUGUGAAGUCUCAUGAUCGUAUCAUGAUCCAUUUUUAUUCGGCUCAAUCUUUUUUUUUAGAAAAAAAAAGAUUGAGCCGAGUUUAAUUGCAGUCAAUUAGAAGAAUAAAGAAGAAUUACUGCAUUUCGUAACUUAUUUUUUCUCUUUUUAUUUUGUUUCUUUUUAUUUAGACCUUCUUCAUAUUUAGUUUUAUCUACUAAUCGAUAGUAUCUACCGGCGCGAACUCGAAUUUGAUCGCCUUCCAUACUUCACAAGCUGCGGCUAGUUCAGGACUCCAUUUGCAAGCUGCUCGGAUAAUUUCAUUACCUUCACGAGCAAGAUCGCGCCCUUCGUUACGAGCUUGUACACAGGCUUCUAAAGCCACUCGAUUAGCUGCUGCACCAGGUGCAUUUCCCCAAGGAUGUCCUAAAGUUCCUCCACCAAAUUGUAAUACAGAAUCAUCCCCAAAGAUUUCGGUCAGAGCUGGCAUAUGCCAAACAUGAAUACCACCUGAAGCUACUGGUAUAACACCUGGCAUGGAUACCCAGUCCUGAGUGAAAAAGAUACAGCGAGCACGAUCUUUUUCAAUAAAAUCGUCGCGCAAUAAAUCAACAAAACCUAAAGUGAUUUCGCGUUCCCCUUCUAACUUACCUACUACUGUACCGGCGUGGAUAUGAUCUCCCCCAGACAUACGCAAUGCUUUAGCUAAUACACGGAAAUGCAUACCAUGAUUUUUCUGUCUAUCAAUAACUGCAUGCAUUGCACGGUGAAUGUGAAGAAGUAAGCCAUUGUCGCGGCAAUAAUGAGCCAAAGUAGUAUUUGCGGUGAAUCCCCCAGUUAAGUAGUCAUGCAUUACAAUAGGAACACCUAAUUCUCUCGCAAAAACAGCUCUCUUCAUCAUUUCUUCACAUGUACCCGCAGUUGCAUUCAAGUAAUGCCCCUUGAUUUCACCGGUUUCCGCCUGUGAUUUAUAAAUAGCUUCGGCACAAAAGACAAAACGAUCUCUCCAGCGCAUAAAUGGUUGUGAGUUUACGUUUUCAUCAUCUUUGGUAAAAUCAAGUCCACCACGUAGACACUCAUAACACGCUCUACCGUAAUUUUUUGCAGAUAAUCCCAAUUUUGGCUUAAUAGUACAUCCCAAUAAAGGACGACCAUACUUGUUCAACUUAUCUCUUUCCACUUGGAUACCGUGAGGCGGGCCUUGGAAAGUUUUUGAAUAAGUAGGGGGAAUUCGUAGAUCCUCCAGACGUAGAGCACGUAGGGCUUUGAAACCAAAUACGUUACCUACAAUGGAAGUAAACAUGUUAGUAACGGAACCCUCUUCAAAUAGAUCUAAUGGAUAAGCUACAUAACAGAUCCAUUGACUGUCUUCCCCAGGAACAGGCUCGAUGUGAUAGCAUCGUCCUUUGUAACGAUCAAGACUAGUAAGUCCAUCAGUCCAAACAGUUGUCCAUGUACCAGUAGAAGAUUCGGCAGCUACUGCAGCCCCUGCUUCUUCGGGCGGAACCCCAGGUUGAGGAGAUACUCGGAAUGCUGCCAAGAUAUCAGUAUCCUUGGUUUCAUACUCCGGGGUGUAGUAAGUCAAUCUAUAAUCUUUAACACCAGCUUUAAAUCCAACACUUGCUUUAGUUUCUGUUUGUGGUGACAUAAGUCCCUCCUUACAACUCUUGAAUUAAGAAUUCUCACAAUAACAAGGUCUACUCGAUGUGAAUUAGGCGUAAAUGAAACUUUAGCAAAAAUCUCAUAAAAAAAAAGAGAUAUUCAAUUAAUAGCAACUCAUUACAGAAAAUUGAGGGCAUGCUUAAGUUAAUUAAUAUUUUUCAUUCAUAUAUAAUGCGUAUACCCUGUGUAUGUUCUAUCCUAUAGGAAUUUCACUAUAGGAAUUCGAUAGGAAUUGAGUUGUUGUUAUGGUAAGUUAACACCGUUCGUUAUUAAACCAAGGAUUUGAUUUAACAAAUCCAUCAUUAUUGUAUACUCUUUGAUAGAUAUAGCGCAACCCAAAUCAAUCCUUAACCUUUUUUUUUACAAAUUAUUAAAGGGCCCCUUUCUUAUUUUGAAAAGAAAUACCUAACUAAAUACUAAGAAAAUUUUCUGUUGACAGCAAUCUAUGCUUCACAGUAGUAUAUAUUUUGUAUAGCGAAGUCCUAGAUAGGAAAGUAGAGUAGGCACAGAUCCUCCACAAAAGGAAAAAUCUAUCUUAUGAAAAAAAGAUUGAUUGAACUUUCCAACGGCCUCAUUCCAUGAGUAAAGGGUUGAAAGGGAUUCGCUUGGGCAAUGAAAUCAAGUCCUGUUCCCCUUUUUUCUCUUAUUGAAUUAACUAAUUGAUUUCCUUUUUACUUUUGGAUUUUUGGAUAUUUUUUUGGAUUUGGUAUUAUUCAACAAGAAAAAAAUAAAAAUUUCGACAAAUUCCUUUUUUUUUUAUUAUGUGAUAAUUAUGAGAACCAAUCCUACUACUUCUCGUCCCGGGGUUUCCCCAAUUGAAGAAAAAAGUACAGGCCGUAUCGAUCAAAUUAUUGGACCCGUGCUGGACGUCACUUUUCCCCCCGGUAAGUUACCUUAUAUUUAUAACGCUUUGGUAGUCCAGAGUAGAGACACUGCCGAUAAGCAAAUUAAUGUGACUUGUGAGGUACAACAAUUAUUAGGAAAUAAUCGAGUUAGAGCUGUAGCUAUGAGUGCUACAGAUGGGUUGAUGAGAGGAAUGGAAGUGAUUGACACAGGAGCUCCUCUCAGUGUUCCGGUCGGCGGAGCUACUCUCGGGCGAAUUUUCAACGUUCUUGGGGAGCCUGUUGACAAUUUGGGUCCUGUAGAUAGUAGUGCAACGUUCCCUAUUCAUAGAUCUGCGCCUGCCUUUAUCGAGUUAGAUACGAAAUUAUCCAUCUUUGAAACAGGUAUUAAGGUCGUCGAUCUUUUAGCUCCUUAUCGACGUGGAGGAAAAAUAGGACUAUUUGGGGGGGCUGGAGUAGGUAAAACAGUACUCAUCAUGGAAUUAAUCAACAACAUUGCUAAAGCUCAUGGGGGCGUAUCCGUAUUUGGUGGAGUAGGGGAACGGACUCGUGAAGGAAAUGAUCUUUAUAUGGAAAUGAGGGAAUCCGGAGUAAUUAAUGAAAAAAAUAUUGAGGAAUCAAAGGUAGCUCUAGUCUAUGGCCAAAUGAAUGAACCACCGGGAGCUCGUAUGAGAGUUAGUUUAACUGCCCUAACUAUGGCGGAAUAUUUCCGAGAUGUUAAUAAGCAAGACGUGCUUUUAUUCAUCGAUAAUAUCUUUCGUUUUGUUCAAGCAGGAUCGGAGGUAUCCGCUUUAUUAGGGAGAAUGCCCUCCGCGGUGGGUUAUCAACCUACUCUUAGUACAGAAAUGGGUUCUUUGCAAGAAAGAAUUGCUUCUACUAAAAAGGGAUCUAUAACUUCGAUCCAAGCGGUUUAUGUACCUGCGGACGAUUUGACUGACCCUGCUCCUGCCACAACAUUUGCCCAUUUGGAUGCUACUACCGUACUUUCCAGAGGAUUAGCUUCCAAGGGUAUUUAUCCAGCAGUAGAUCCUUUAGAUUCAACCUCAACUAUGUUACAGCCUCGGAUCGUUGGCAACGAACAUUAUGAAACUGCGCAAAGUGUUAAGGAAACUUUACAACGUUACAAGGAACUUCAGGACAUUAUCGCAAUUCUUGGAUUGGAUGAAUUAUCGGAGGAGGAUCGUUUAACUGUAGCAAGAGCGCGAAAAAUUGAGCGUUUCUUAUCACAACCGUUCUUUGUAGCAGAAGUUUUUACUGGUUCUGCAGGAAAGUAUGUUGGUCUUGCAGAAACAAUUAGGGGAUUUCAACUAAUCCUUUCCGGAGAAUUAGAUGGCCUACCCGAGCAGGCUUUUUAUUUGGUGGGUAACAUCGAUGAAGCUAGCACGAAAGCUAUAACCUUAGAAGAGGAGAACAAAUCGAAGAAAUGAAAUUAAAUCUUUAUGUACUGACUCCUAAGCGAAUUAUUUGGGAUUGUGAAGUGAAAGAAAUCAUUUUAUCCACUAAUAGUGGUCAAAUUGGGGUAUUACCAAACCAUGCCCCCAUUAACACAGCAGUAGAUAUGGGUCCUUUGAGAAUACGCCUCCUCAAUGACCAAUGGUUAACGGCGGUUCUGUGGAGCGGUUUUGCGAGAAUAGUUAAUAAUGAGAUCAUUAUUUUAGGAAAUGAUGCGGAACUGGGUAGUGAUAUUGAUCCGGAAGAAGCUCAACAGGCACUUAAAAUAGCCGAAGAUAACUUGAGUAAAGCUGAGGGUACGAAAGAAUUGGUUGAAGCGAAACUAGCUCUCAGACGAGCUAGGAUACGAAUCGAGGCUGUCAAUUGGAUUCCCCCAUCCAAUUGAAGACAAUCCAAUGGUUUAUAGUUGAUACAAAGAUAAAGGGAAGAGGGGUAGAAAAAGUUAUUAGAUAGCGAAGCGAAAUAAGCCCAAUGCUAUCUAGUAAUUUUUCUACCUACCUACCUACUAUUGGAUUUGAACCAAUGACUCCCGCCGUAUGAAAGCAAUACUCUAACCACUGAGUUAAGUAGGCAAUUUAUGAUCACAAAGGAAGACCCAUUACUUCGAUCGAUUAUAUAUCGAAUCCCUUUUCUAAGCAAUAACGCUUCCUUAUUGGUAUGUUAUAUACUAAACAGAUACAUAUUUAAAGAGAUACCCUCUGGCAUUAGAGAAUAUUCAUCUUGACAAUAAAUUAUCUAUAUGUUAAGAUAUCUCUGAUAAGGGCUAUAGCUCAGUUCGGUAGAGCAACUCGUUUACACGUGCGCCAAUGCUUUUCAAAGGAGCUUAUUAUGCAAUGAAUAUUUUGGAUCUUAUUGCAAAAUCAAUGUCUUACUUCAUAGAUUCGACAGAAUAGGAGAACAGUAGCCUGACAAAGAGUCAGUUCAGUCCGAUUCAGGUCCCCAUUCUGGUGCCUAAUCAAAUCGAACCCUUAUGGAUUUGCUAGUUGAUAAGGUAAAUAUCCAGCCCACUAAAUGCUAGGCGUAAUGAGGAUAAGGGCCUCCAAAAAACUUCUUUUCGUUCUAUGAACUUUAAGGUGUAUGAAGUCUCAUAGUUAACUCUUGCAGUGGAACGAUAGAGACUCCAUUUCACUUAGGUUGAUUUAAUUUAGGCCGGAGGCAGACCUAAGUCAAGGUAAUCCUCCUUUGAAACACUUUGGUAUUGCUCCUAGAUAGACCAUAAUACAAAUAAUCAAUCAGAGCACAGGGAGCCAUCUCAUUAUCUUUCCGUAAAGAAAAACUAUGGUGGACUAACUGAUCUUUAAAUCAGUUGAUGAAAGAGCCCAAUGCAAAAAAAUGCAUGUUGGGUCUUUGAAACAGUUCGAAUCAUUUCGAUAAUAAUCUGUUUGAUCUGUUUUACCGAGAAGGUCUACGGUUCGAAUCCGUAUAGCCCUAAUAUGUCCUAUUUUUGGAUUUUAGUAUAGAUAUCCUAUGUUUUCCUUAGUAUAGCUUUUAUUUUCACAUUAGUACUUGUUUAUAGACUGGGCGGGCGCCUGCGACAUAGAAUAGGCGUAAAAGCAUUACCACAGGCUCAUUCAUCAAAAAUCAUAGAGAUAAGAAACGAAAAAGUGAUUUCUAUCAAAUCAAUAGAAGAAAAGAGCCCUUCCCUGAUUUGAAUCCCGCCCUUCUUCAAAUAGGGUAUCUCUAGACUUCCCUAUAAAAACUGCAAUGAUUUUCUCCAUCUUGCGAAUUUAUACUUUGUUUUAAGUAUAUUACUUUGCUUAUAUAUACAUUAUCUAAAUCGAUCUACUUAAAAUCCUAAAUAGAAAAAAAAAUAGAAAGAAUUAAAGUAAAGAGUAAAUAAGAAAACAGAAUAUUAUGUCUCAUAGUUCUGAAAUAGAGUUCCUUAUUUUUUUAUAGUAUUACUUCUCAGUCUACUGCAUAGACUAGUCCUCUUAUGUUAAUUAGGUUCUAAAGAUUAUAGAGAAAGCAAAAUAAAGUGAAGGGAUAAAGUAUUUUUUAUAUAAGAAUUAGAUCUAUACCAUAUCUAAAUAGAAUGGAAAAAAAAGAAGGGGAGUUGGGAUUCCAUUGGAUGAAUCUUUAAAGAAGACACAGCACAGAGAAAACAAAGGCUAAACUAAGCGAUUUUGUUUGAACAAAACAGAUUCUUGUUUCACCGAGGAAAAGAGAUAAGUUCUGGAUGAAUUGACAAUGCAUAAUUGAAUUGAUUAAUUUAAGUCUCGUCUAUUCUACAUUAAUGGGAGUACAUUAUGUUUCUGCUUCACGAAUAUGAUAUUUUUUGGACAUUUCUAAUAAUAGCAAGCCUUAUUCCGAUUUUGGCAUUUUGGAUUUCAGGGCUUUUAGCCCCGAUUAGUGAAGGACCCGAAAAGCUUUCUAGUUAUGAAUCGGGUAUAGAACCCAUGGGAGGGGCUUGGCUACAAUUCCGAAUACGCUAUUACAUGUUUGCGCUAGUUUUUGUUGUUUUUGAUGUGGAAACCGUCUUUCUCUACCCUUGGGCAAUGAGUUUCGACGUAUUGGGUGUAUCCGUUUUUAUCGAAGCUUUCAUUUUCGUGCUUAUCCUAGUUGUUGGUUUAGUUUAUGCAUGGCGAAAAGGAGCCUUGGAAUGGUCUUAACUGAAUAUUUAGAAAAAAAAAAAGAAGAAAAAGAUUCCAUUGAGACAGUUAUGAGUUUGAUUGAGUUUCCUUUACUUGACCAAACAAGUUCCAAUUCUGUUAUUUCAACUACACCAAACGAUCUUUCAAAUUGGUCAAGACUCUCCAGUUUAUGGCCCCUUCUAUACGGUACCAGUUGUUGUUUCAUUGAAUUUGCUUCAUUAAUAGGCUCGCGAUUCGACUUUGAUCGUUAUGGAUUGGUACCAAGAUCAAGUCCUAGGCAAGCGGACCUAAUUUUAACAGCUGGUACAGUAACAAUGAAAAUGGCUCCUUCUUUAGUGAGGUUAUACGAGCAAAUGCCUGAACCAAAAUACGUCAUUGCUAUGGGAGCUUGUACUAUUACAGGGGGAAUGUUCAGUACGGAUUCCUAUAGUACUGUUCGAGGAGUUGAUAAGUUAAUUCCUGUGGAUGUCUACUUGCCGGGUUGCCCACCUAAACCGGAGGCGGUUAUAGAUGCCCUAACAAAACUUCGUAAGAAGAUAUCGCGAGAAAUAGUUGAGGAUCGAAUUCGAUCUCAAAAUAAAAACCGAUGUUUUACUACCAGUCACAAGCUUUAUGUUCGGCGCAGUACUCAUACUGGAACUUACGAGCAAGAAUUGCUCUAUCAAUCACCAUCUACUUUAGAUAUAUCUUCUGAAAAUUUUUACAAAUCCAAAAGUAUAGUACCUUCCUACAAAUUAGUGAAUUAGGAGGGGGGUUCUUUUGUCUAGAAAAAUAAAAAGCAAGGCAAUCUUUGAAACUUGCAUCCGAAAUGUGAAAUAUUUAUACAAAACAAAGAGGGAGAGAUCAAGACAAUGCAGCAGGGUUGGUUAUCUAAUUGGCUAGUCAAACAUAAGGUGGUUCAUAGAUCUUUGGGCUUUGAUCACCGAGGAAUAGAGACUUUACAAAUAAAAGCGGGGGAUUGGGAUUCCAUUGCUGUCAUUUUAUACGUAUAUGGUUACAAUUAUUUACGCUCCCAAUGUGCUUAUGAUGUAGCACCCGGUGGAUCUUUAGCUAGCGUGUAUCAUCUUACGAGAAUACAGUAUGGCAUAGAUAACCCAGAAGAAGUAUGCAUAAAAGUCUUUGCCCAAAAGGAUAAUCCUAGAAUUCCGUCUGUCUUCUGGAUUUGGAGAAGUGCCGAUUUUCAAGAACGCGAAUCUUAUGAUAUGGUGGGAAUCUCUUAUGAUAAUCAUCCGCGCCUUAAACGUAUCCUAAUGCCUGAAAGUUGGGUAGGCUGGCCCUUACGUAAGGACUAUAUAACCCCCAAUUUCUAUGAAAUACAAGAUACUCAUUGAAUGAUAAGAAAUUCAUGCGGACUUAUACAACACAACUCCAGAUUUUAUUCAAGUAAAGGAAAAUUUUUACGUUCUGUUCCUAGAUGAAACGGAAUACCUAUUUCGAAUUAAUUCCUAUUAUACAAAAGUAGUCCAGAUAGACUGAGCAAAAAAAGGGUUUCAUUUGGAUUCCCUUAUUUGGAAAAUCACAUAUGAAUUUCCCUCAUAUGAACAGAAAAAUAUGAUGACUCAAAGAAGUUCUCUACCACGAACUUUGUAUCGCGCGCAUGACUUAGCACAAUUGGAAAAGUAAGAUAAGCAAGAAUAAAAAAAUAUUCGUCGUAAUAUGCAGAAUACAAAAUUAAGAAAUGCAAAAAAAAAUAAAGGGGAACCUAAUCUCACCUCCUUCUGUACCAUAAAGAAAAGAACCAGAGAUUUUUACCCUUCUCUAAAAAGAAAAAGAAGUGCCUCUAUAUUAGAGACUUAUCCACCUAGAUGAAUAAAUCAGACUUUAUUUAUAGUAUUAACGAAUAUGUAUCCUAAUCCAUCUUGAGGCAUUUUUAUCAAAACCUAUUCGGUAGAUCUUUUUUUUCUCUGCCAGGAACCAGAUUUGAACUGGUGACACGAGGAUUUUCAGUCCUCUGCUCUACCAACUGAGCUAUCCUGACCUUUUCUUGUGCAUCAUCCUAGUAGAGUAUUUGUAUCUAUGUCAAUUAAAGGGACUCAAAAAUCAAUUAAAGUAUUUCAAAUUCCAAAUUGAAAAAUGGGGGGGUGGUCCUAUGCAUUGUGCAUGGAUUACUUAAUAAUACUUAAAAAUAGAGUUAAUAACCGAGAGUCCUUGCGGAUACUCUAAUAAAAAAGAAAUCUAUUCAAUGAAUAGGAUAAGAUCCAUUGAGUUCUCUUCGCACUCCUUUGUGAAAGAGUAGAAUGAGAAAGCUAAUGAAUCUUAAACCCAUUGAUAAAAAGAAAAAAAGAGGAUAAAAGUUAGGGAAUAAAAGAGGAUAGUUGGGGAAUAAAAAGGAUUUGGGGAUAGAGGGACUUGAACCCUCACAACUUAUAAAGUCGACGGAUUUUCCUUUUACUCGAAAUUUCAUUGUUGUCAGUAUUGACAUGUAGAAUGGGACUCUCUCUUUGUCCUCGUCCGAUUAAUCCACUUUUUAAAAGAUCUCAAGUACUUUGAAUUGAAGGAUUUGAUUACUCAAGAUUCAAUUAGAAUGGAUUCACAAUAAUUCUAAAAAAUUUAUUAAUUUUUUAUUUCAUAAUCCUUCCUAAUUUCAUUCUAAAAAAGAAUAAAGAACCUAUGUUAUACUUGGAUUCUGUGAUUAAUCGUUUACUAUGUUAGUAUCUAUACGUGUUUAUUAGAUGUAAAAAUCCCUUCUUUCUCUAAUUUAAAAGGAUUUCCACUACCAAAACAACCUAAAUAAAUUAACUCGAUUCGUUAGAACAGCUUCCAUUGAGUCUCUGCACCUAUCCUUUUCCUUUGGAUUCUAGUUCGAGAACCCCUUGUUUUCUCAAAACACGGAUUUGGCUCAGGAUUGCCCUUUUUUAAUUCCAGGGUUUCUCUGAAUUUGGAAGUUAACACUUAGCAGGUUUCCAUACUAAGGCUCAAUACAAUCAAGUCCGUAGCGUCUACCGAUUUCGCCAUAUCCCCAUUUUCCUUUUUUUUUGAGACCUGGAUUCCUUGCGUAAUUUCAUCCAUCUCUUAGUUUUUUUGGAAUCGUUGAAUUCAUCACUCGACGUCAUCUAGCAGUUCGAUUCUAUUUGAGAGACCACGCUUGUUUAUUGCAAUUCAGAAUUGCAUUGAUUCUAUCGUUGCUGUAUUUGCAAUUCAAUCCGAAUCAAUAUAUCCCAAAAAUUUUCUCUCCCCCACCGCUCAUCUUACUUUUUUAGAGUAUUAAAAAUCAUACUAUAACGCUUGAUAUUCAUUUUUUUUCUACUCAAAAUUGGCAAUUUUAUUUGCUAUGACUUUAUGUUCUCCUUAGAGAAAUAGGAAUCCUCAAAUUAUUAACAAAUAAAAAAAGAUCUAAAAAAAUGUCUAUAAUGAUCGAAUGAAAACACCAAUAAAUUCGUAUUUUCCCCUUAUUAUUUCUUUAAUAUAUAUAUAUUAUUAUAUCUUUAAUAUAUUUCAUAAUAUAUAUAUAUAUUUCUUUUCUAUGUAUUAGAUUAUUCGUCCGAGCUAUAUCAAAUUGAAAAUAUCUGAAAUCAAAUUCAAUAUAGAAAUUGGAAUCAACUCUUAGAAAAAAGAUUUGCGAAUUAGAGAAAUAAAAAGAAAGUUCAAUAAAUUCUAUACUUUUAUUUAAGGAUAUCCUCUAGUUAAGCAUAUCAAGCUAACUUUAUCUUUAAAAAGUUCUAGUAUUUUUUUAAGUAGAACUUCAAAUUGAGAACUAGUUAAUAGCUAAGAUUAAUAACUAAGAUCUCAGAUUUUACGGAUUUCUAUACUAUACCUAUUUCUAUUUGUUACACUAUUUCUGCUAUCUAAGCCCACUUAGCUCAGAGGUUAGAGCAUCGCAUUUGUAAUGCGAGGGUCAUCGGUUCAAAUCCGAUAGUCGGCUUUUUUUUCGUUAUCGAUGUUCUACGAACAAGAAUCUCUUUUUUUUUUCGGAUUAAAUGGGGAAUCCAGGAUCUUUUUUGUUUUCUACCUUACAAUUUUGCUAGAUACAAAAGAAUAAAAUAAAUAAUAUAUAUACAAAAAAUCCAGAUGUUGAUGAAAUUCUAUUUUUUAUGGUACUUUAGUUGAUUUUACUCUGUUUAUCCUUUAGUUUAAUUCAGUUUUAAUUUCGAUGUAUUCCGUAAUGUAAAUACAAUGAAAUUAAUUGUGUAAAAUGAAAUUUCAAUAAAAUAAAAAAGGAGUUUUCAUGUCCCGUUAUCGAGGACCUCGUUUAAAAAAAAUACGCCGUCUGGGAGCUUUACCAGGACUCACUAGAAAAACACCUAAAUCCGGAAGUAAUCUGAAAAAGAAAUUCCAUUCUGGGAAAAAGGAGCAAUAUCGUAUUCGUCUUCAAGAAAAACAGAAAUUGCGUUUUCAUUAUGGUCUGACAGAACGACAAUUACUUAGAUAUGUACAUAUCGCUGGAAAAGCAAAAAGGUCCACAGGUCAGGUUUUACUACAAUUACUUGAAAUGCGUUUGGAUAAUAUCCUUUUUCGAUUGGGUAUGGCGGCAACCAUUCCUGGGGCCCGCCAAUUAGUCAACCAUAGACAUAUUUUGGUUAAUGGUCGUAUAGUUAAUAUACCAAGUUUUCGUUGCAAACCUCGAGAUAUUAUUACUACGAAAGAUAACCAAAGAUCACAAAGUCUGGUUCAAAAUUCUAUUGCUUCAUCCGACCCGGGAAAAUUGCCAAAGCAUUUGACGAUUGACACAUUGGAAUAUAAAGGACUAGUAAAUAAAAUCCUAGAUAGGAAGUGGGUAGGUCUCAAAAUAAAUGAGUUGUUAGUUGUAGAAUAUUACUCUCGUCAGACUUGAACUUAACGAAAAAAGGAAAGGUUCAUAGAAUUUUCUUCCCCUUUUCCCGAACUAAAUCGACCUAAGGCCCUAAUUCGUAUUUUCCUACUCAACUAGCAAAAAUGGAUUAACCCGAGGAUCCUUUUUUCUUUUUUGUUCUUUUCUCUAUGUGUAUUUUUACAUACCACAGUAAUUUGCUAUAGAGAAUUUCUAUUAAAUAAGGGUAAGGGUAUUAUUGCUGGAAUAAAUUGUUAUUUGAUUUGAUACACUGUGCUCCUUAACGUUGAUGAAUUAAGAAAAACGGAAAGAGAGGGAUUCGAACCCUCGGUAAACAAAAGUCUACAUAGCAGUUCCAAUGCUACGCCUUGAACCGCUCGGCCAUCUCUCCCACAUAACUCAUUAUGGCAAAUAAACUGAGUAAAUAGCGAGUUUUCCUAUUCCUGCAGUACAAGUACAACCGCUCAGGGGUUCCAUAGUUCUAUUGGAAAAAUUCCUUUUGAUCUAAGUUAAGUGGAAGGAUCCAGGAUUUUUUUACUAGGAAUUGCUUCCCCUAUAAAAGUUUUAGUUUGGAUUUUCCUAAAACCAAAGAAAAAGAGAAUGGAAGAAUUCUUCUUAUUGCAUAAUAAAAUAAAGAAACCUUAGAAUUCUGUUUGCAUAAGGUACGCUACACCAGACUAUCGAAAUCGAAAAUAAGGUAUGAGACAAUUAAUAACUUUGAAAACACGAAAUAGCUGAUGAGCGAAGUUGUUGUUGAGAAAUAGGAAAGUAGAAUCAAACCCAGUCUUAGUCAAAUAUUUAAUAUAUCUUCUUGUCCAAACAGAAAGAAAAGGAAAAAAUUAAAGCUGAGCGGAAAAUCCAUACCUCUCUUAUCGAUUUAGAGCAUAUGGAUCGAUCUAGUUAUAAGAAUCAAAUGUGUUUGUUUUUAUGUUAUUUUGUGAAGGAAUGAAAACAAUUUUAUCAUAGAAUGGGUUGGGAAUUAUGCCUAGAUCCCGUGUAAAUGGAAAUUUCAUUGAUAAGACCUCCUCAAUUGUAGCCAAUAUUUUAUUGCGAAUAAUUCCAACAACCUCAGGGGAAAAAAGGGCAUUUACUUAUUAUAGAGAUGGUGCGAUUUGACUCUUUUUUUUUGUUUUUUUUAGCCCUACCUACACCUCAGUCUUCUGAUAAGGAGAGGGGGUUCGCAUAGAGAGAACAAAAUUAGUAAAGCAAACCCACGCUUUGGGAAGGUGAGGUUAAUUAACAAUUCCUUCUAUCGUGUAUCCUCGAUUGAUGCGGCCUCAGAUGCUUCAAUUGUAGAUUUAAGUAUUGAGCGAAAGGUUACACCUAACAGGAUAGGUUAUGGAUUACAGGCCAAUCCUACUCUAUUAGUACCAAUAGGCAGCACAUAGGGGAGAAAAGCACUACACCUAAAAAUAGGAAUCAACAAGAGAAAAACUUUGUUAUAAAUUAACCCUUUCCUAAUCGAUAUCAGGGCUGGGAAGAAUGGUUGGGAUAAUAAACAACCAUCAGGUUUGUACUUUGGAUACCCCUAUAACCAUCAAAGAUCGUUGAAGUGGCUAAUUCCUCUAAAUAGAAGGCGUUGAGAACAAAGAAAUUCUUGGAGCUAUGAUUUUCCUCUAGCAUUAAUAGAAUUCAUAGAAUUCAUUGGUGUUAGGAAAAACCUCUUGCGGGAAGGUUGGCUAGAGAUUUCUUGGAAAAAUACCAGCCCCUUUCGGUCCAUAAUGAGACGGGACUAAUUUGAUUCUAUAGAUUAUUUCGCUUAGUACUAUGUACAGAAGGGAGGAGCCGUAUGAGAUGAAAACCUCAUGUACGGUUUUGGAACGGAGAUUUUUUGAAUAGAAUGAACGACCGUAACGGAUGUUGGCUCAAUCCGAAGGAAAUUAUGCGGAAGCUUUGCAAAAUUAUUAUGAAGCUACGCGACUAGAAAUCGAUCCCUACGAUCGAAGUUAUAUACUCUAUAACAUAGGCCUUAUACACACAAGCAAUGGAGAGCAUACAAAGGCUUUGGAAUAUUAUUUCCGGGCACUAGAGCGAAACCCCUUCUUACCGCAAGCUUUUAAUAAUAUGGCUGUGAUCUGUCAUUACGUGCGACUAUCUCCACUAUAGAAAGAAAAAAAGAAAGAAUCAAAUUUCUAGUAAAUACUAGACAAAAGGGUCUUUCUACAUAGGGGUCGUAAAAACAACGAUUUUUCCCUAUCAGCUGUAGGAAGGAAAGACACUUCACGAGAAUCAAAAAAGGAAGAAAGUAUGGCCUAUACUACUACUCUAUGGAUAAAGUUCUCAAAUUGAUAGAGAAAGCACCGUAAAGAUCAAUUAGUGAGCGACUUGGUCGAUACAACUAAAAAAAACUGCUUACUUAUCCCAUGAUAUGGGGCAAAGUUUAGGAAUCUGCUUAUGUAAUAGAGCCGAUCCACUAAGGGAUUAAGCAGCGGUGUAGUAUCAGAUCCCAAAGAUAGUAAGUUCUUUUUUCUUUCUUAUCUUAUGGGAAAAAGUCUUUUUCAAGGAUUCUAUAGGGAUUUCAUAUAUGAAACCGGGAUAGUUACUUUUCAGAAAAUUCGAACGAAAGCUCUCGAUCUAUCUAUGCUUCAUUCUUCUGAAGGUGGGAAAAAAGAUCAAACUGAUUAGUUAUAAAAAUUAGGGUUUGAAACUUAGGUAAUUAACUUCUUCUGCUUAACCCAAAAACAAAUUGGAUCGAUUUUUCAAAAAUCGAAUUCAGUUAAGAUAGGGGAAAUUAAGAUAGCAAUUUCUGAGCCGUAUGAGGUAGGAAACUCUCAAGUACGGUUCUAGGGGAAGGAACUGCCUAUUCCGACCGAGGAGAACAGGCCAUUCUACAGGGUGAUUCAGAAAUUGCAGAAGCUUGGUUUGAUCAAGCUGCUGAGUAUUGGAAACAAGCUAUAGCGCUUACUCCGGGAAAUUAUAUUGAAGCACAGAACUGGUUGAAGAUUACGAAGCGCUUUGAAUUUGAAUAAGACCACGUUCCUUUUUCAUAUAAAUUAGGUCGUAAGAUCGAAUCAAGAAUUUCAUUAUAUCCCGUUCGUCUUUCUUCUACCUUCUAUUUUAUAUGAGAUUUUAUAAGGAUAAACCAGAGGGAUAGGAUCUAGAAUAGAAGUAAUAAAGCGAAUAAAAAGAGGGGCAAUCUAAAUACUGCUAAUAUAUCAAGACCAUCUUAUUAAUUCUUAAAUAAUUCUAAUGAGUUAUCUUGGAAUUUAGAAUCAAAUAAAAAAUCCUAUAUUACGCUCAAGGAAAGUAGAUGUAGAUAGGAGCUUAUACUCUCAAAAAAAAAUACACCAGUUUAUUAAAUUUUAAAAAGAUUUUUUUCUUACAUCGGGAAAUAUAUACAUAUAUAUAUAUAUUUUUUUUUCAAGAUAUAUAAUGUCCGUUAGGCACCUAAUCCUUAUGUCAUAAUAGAUCCGAACACUUGCCUAGGAUUGACUUCAAUAUAUAAUUGCUCCAGUGAAUAACUAUAAAAAAAUAGAAGGACGGUAGAUAGUAAAGAAAAGAACUAAUCAUAAUAUCUAUCUUUCAAAAUCUAUCUUUCAAAGAUUCACUAAAAAGACAGUUGGCAGGUCUCUUUAUAUGUCUUGUCCGGAAAGAGGAGGACUUAAUGAUUAUUCGUUCGCCGGAACCAGAAGUAAAAAUUAUUGUGGAUAGGGAUCCUGUAAAAACAUCUUUUGAGGAAUGGGCCAGACCCGGCCAUUUCUCAAAAACACUAGCUAAGGGCCCUGAUACUACCACUUGGAUCUGGAACCUACAUGCUGAUGCUCACGAUUUCGAUAGUCAUACGGGUGAUUUGGAGGAGAUCUCUCGAAAAGUCUUUAGUGCUCAUUUCGGGCAACUCUCCAUUAUCUUUCUUUGGUUGAGUGGCAUGUACUUCCAUGGUGCCCGUUUUUCCAAUUAUGAAGCAUGGCUAAGUGAUCCUACUCACAUUGGACCCAGUGCUCAGGUGACCCUUUCGUUUCCUUCGUCUCUCGAAGGUGCGAUCUGCACUGUUAGUUGGGGAUCGACCUCGUUCAUUGUGAACUGAGUCCUCUCCAUCCGCCCAUCGAUUGGCAAUUUUCAUCAGAUAUCCGAUGAUAGAGGGUCGAACGCGACCCAAUUCUUCUUUGAGCUCGACUCGACGAAGGCCUCGUUUGAAUGCGU
rnacentral:lncRNA from 1 species